CCAGCUCCAAUAGCGUAUAUUUAAGUUGUUGCAGUUAAAAAGCUCGUAGUUGGAUUUUGGGGUGGGAGAUUCGGUCUGCCACAGGCUGAUACUGUUUCUCCCAUCCUCCUUGCCGGGAACGUGCUCUGGCCUUCGCUGGCUGGGGCGCGGGCUCGGCGAUGUUACUUUGAAAAAAUUAGAGUGUUCAAAGCAGGCCCAUGCUCUGAAUACAUUAGCAUGGAAUAACGCAACAGGACUCUGGUCCUAUUGUGUUGGUCUUCGGGACCGGAGUAAUGAUCAACAGGGACAGUCGGGGGCAUUCGUAUUUCAUUGUCAGAGGUGAAAUUCUUGGAUUUAUGAAAGACGAACUACUGCGAAAGCAUUUGCCAAGGAUGUUUUCA
rnacentral:rRNA from 1 species